rnacentral:lncRNA from 1 species
UUGGUAAUCCACGAUGGGAAUUCGUAAAUGUAGAUGGUCUCUCGUCGAAGAGUUUCCCUUGCCAGUAGCCGAAGGCGAUUAUUGAUCAAGUCUCUUCUUUGGCUGUAGGAUUCUGAAGAUAUUUUGAUGGGGUCUUUCUAGGAAGGAUGUUAAAGAUAACUUCUCUUUCAACACCUGCUUCGUUGAACGUAUCACGAAUGCACUUUAGCAGUCUCAUGAAAUCAGACUCGUUGAAGUGUCUGGAAUCAAUAUCGUUGCCACCUAUCGAUAGAACAACGGCCAAUGGUGAAGUUAUCUGUUGUCUAUAUAUUUGGCGUAAACUUCAGGCAUACUGCUGUGUCCAGUGAAGGGUCGACAUCUUACGACCAUCAACGUCCCGACGCAUUCUGUCCUGGAUGGUAGAGCAAAAGAUCUGCGAAAUGGUGUUGUCCCGAAUUUGCUGCGAAGCCUUCUCACGAAUGAGUGACCGACCACUACUAUUUUUUUUU